rnacentral:rRNA from 1 species
GUCCACGCCGUAAACGAUGAUCACUCGUUGUUGGCGAUACACCGUCAGCGACUGAGCGAAAGCAAUAAGUGAUCCACCUGGGGAGUACGGUCGCAAGACUGAAACUCAAAGGAAUUGACGGGGGCCCGCACAAGCGGAGGAACAUGUGGUUUAAUUCGAUGAUACGCGAGGAACCUUACCUGGGCUUGAAAGGGGAUUGACCUCCCGGGAAACCGGGAUUCUCUUCGGAGCAAUCUCCUAGGUGCUGCAUGGUUGUCGU